rnacentral:rRNA from 1 species
GCCCUAGUAACGGCGAGUGAAGCGGCAACAGCUCAAAUUUGAAAUCUGGCGUCUUUGGCGUCCGAGUUGUAAUUUGCAGAGGGCGCUUUGGCAUUGGCAGCGGUCCAAGUUCCUUGGAACAGGACGUCACAGAGGGUGAGAAUCCCGUACGUGGUCGCUAGCCUUUACCGUGUAAAGCCCCUUCGACGAGUCGAGUUGUUUGGGAAUGCAGCUCUAAAUGGGAGGUAAAUUUCUUCUAAAGCUAAAUACUGGCCAGAGACCGAUAGCGCACAAGUAGAGUGAUCGAAAGAUGAAAAGCACUUUGGAAAGAGAGUUAAAAAGCACGUGAAAUUGUUGAAAGGGAAGCGCUUGCAGCCAGACUUGCCUGUAGUUGCUCAUCCGGGUUUUUACCCGGUGCACUCUUCUAUAGGCAGGCCAGCAUCAGUUUGGGCGGUUGGAUAAAGGUCUCUGUCAUGUACCUCCUCUCGGGGAGAACUUAUAGGGGAGACGACAUGCAACCAGCCUGGACUGAGGUCCGCGCAUCUGCUAGGAUGCUGGCGUAAUGGCUGUAAGCGGCCCGUCUUGAAACACGGACCAAGGAGUCUAACAUCUAUGCGAGUGUUUGGGUGUCAAGCCCGAACGCGUAAUGAAAGUGAACGGAGGUGGGAACCUUUCGGGGUGCACCAUCGACCGAUCCUGAUGUCUUCGGAUGGAUUUGAGUAAGAGCAUAGCUGUUGGGACCCGAAAGAUGGUGAACUAUGCUUGAAUAGGGUGAAGCCAGAGGAAACUCUGGUGGAGGCUCGCAGCGGUUCUGACGUGCAAAUCGAUCGUCAAAUUUGGGCAUAGGGGCGAAAGACUAAUCGAACUAUCUAGUAGCUGGUUCCUGCCGAAGUUUCCCUCAGGAUAGCAGUAACGUUUUCAGUUUUAUGAGGUAAAGCGAAUGAUUAGAGGCCUGGGGGUUGAAACAACCUU